rnacentral:rRNA from 1 species
UACGUAGGUGGCAAGCGUUGUCCGGAUUUACUGGGCGUAAAGAGCGCGCAGGCGGUCGUCCAAGUCGCGUGUGAAAGCCCCCGGCUCAACUGGGAGGGUCACGCGAUACUGAUCGACUGGAAGGCAGGAGAGGGUAGUGGAAUUCCCGGUGUAGUGGUGAAAUGCGUAGAUAUCGGGAGGAACACCAGUGGCGAAGGCGACUACCUGGCCUGUUCUUGACGCUGAGGCGCGAAAAGCUAGGGGAGCAAACGGG